CCUACGGGUGGCAGCAGUGAGGAAUAUUGGUCAAUGGGCGGGAGCCUGAACCAGCCAAGCCGCGUGAGGGAAGAAGGUACAGCGUAUCGUAAACCUCUUUUGUCAGGGAACAAAGGCGGGGACUAGGCCCCGGAUGAGGGUACCUGAAGAAAAAGCAUCGGCUAACUCCGUGCCAGCAGCCGCGGUAAUACGGAGGAUGCGAGCGUGAGCCGGAUUUAUUGGGCUUAGAGGGUGCGCAGGCGGCCUGUUAAGUCAGCGGUAAAAGCCCGGGGCUCAACCCCGGCGAGCCGUUGAAACUGGCGGGCUGGAGUUGGAGAGAAGUACGCGGAAUGCGCGGUGUAGCGGUGAAAUGCAUAGAUAUCACGCAGAACUCCGAUUGCGAAGGCAGCAUACCGGCGCUCAACUGACGCUCAUGCACGAAAGUGUGGGUAUCGAACAGGAUUAGAUACCCGGGUAGUC
rnacentral:rRNA from 1 species